GGUCGACAACGAGUUCCUCAACCGCAAGAGUUCCAAGAAGUGCUGCAUCUUCCACAAGCAGAAGCCCUUCGACGAGGACGAUAGCGACGAGGAGGACUGCGGCGAUAAGCCCGCCGGCGACUCGGCUGGACCAAGCCGUUGCUGCUCCCACGGUCAUGACCACUGAUGACUUCCUUCCUCCUUCAUCAUGAGCUUUACAGAUGGAUGACUUUACAACUGCAUUGAUGAGACACCCCAUUCCGAGCUACAAUCUAUCGUUGGUGAAAUAUGUUUUUUUUUUUUUUUGUGUGGAAGAAUCAACACAGUGUUCUAAAUAUAUACUUCAAACCUCGAAUUAUUUGUUUUGCAGUACAUGCUAAGUUGAAAUGGCACCAUUAGUUAAGCAUCCCUUUUAAAGUGUGAA